rnacentral:rRNA from 1 species
UACAGAGGGUGCGAGCGUUAAUCGGAAUUACUGGGCGUAAAGCGCGCGUAGGCGGCUUUGCAAGCCGGAUAUGAAAUCCCCGGGCUUAACCUGGGAACUGCAUUCGGGACUGCAUUGCUAGAGUAUGGGAGAGGAAAGCGGAAUUUCUGGUGUAGCAGUGAAAUGCGUAGAUAUCAGAAGGAACAUCAGUGGCGAAGGCGGCUUUCUGGACCAAUACUGACGAUCAGGUGCGAAAGCGUGGGGAGCAAACAGG